rnacentral:rRNA from 1 species
AGCGCACGCUGGCGGCAGGCCUAACACAUACAAGUCGAACGAAGUGGCGGACGGGUGAGUAACACGUGGGAACGUGCCUUUAGGUUCGGAAUAACUCAGGGAAAAUUGUGCUAAUAACGAAUGCCUUUAGAGCGGCCCGCGUCUGAGUAGCUAGUUGGUGAGGUAAAGGAUCAAAAAGGCGACGAUCAGUAACAGGUCUGAGAGGAUGAUCAGCCACAGUGGGACUGAGACAAGGCCCAAACUCCUACGGGAGGCAGCAGGGGGGAAUCGUGCGCAAGGGGCGAAAGCAUGACGCAGCCAUGCCGCGUGAAUGAUGAAGGUCUUAGGAUUGUAAAAUUCUUUCACCGGGGACGCGGUACCCGGCGAAGAAGCCCCGGCUAACUUCGUGCCAGCAGCCGCGGUAAUUC